GGAUUGUUUUGUCUCCCAUCCUCCUUUCCCAAGCAUGAGGACCCUCCCGCUGACACUUGCGCUAACGGAGUUGCUGAUGGCGGAGAUGCCAUGCAGGGCGAGACAGAGACGCAGCCUGCUGGUGAAAAGCCUCCCAAAGGAAAUGGUGAUGAGCAAGUACCCCCCCUCCUGCCUCCCCCACCGCCUGGCAGCCUUCCUCCUUACCCCCCCUACUUCGAGGGAGCUCCCUUUCCCCGUCCGCUAUGGCUACGGCACACGUACAACCAGUGGGUUCCUCAGCCACCGCCACGGACUAUAAAGAGGACGAGGAGGCGUUUAUCACGGAAUAGAGACCCAGGAAGGCUUAUCAUGAGCACUAUCAGGCUACGGCCAAGACAGGUGCUCUGUGAGAAGUGUAAAAACACUCUGAACCCCGAGGAUGCAAACACAGCUAGGCAGAACGCUAAAACCAGGAGGAAGCUGAGCAUUCAGGACAAAGAGCAGAAAAAGCACAGUGAGUCCGACUACAUGGAGAAAAGGAACAAAAGAGAAAAGAGAGAGGAUGACAAGUUUUCUGGGGAACUAGUACAUCGAACGCCAGUUAUAAAAAUAUCCUACAGUACUCCACAAGGGAAAGGCGAAGUUGUAAAAAUCCCUUCCCGGGUUCAUGGCUCAGUCAAACCAUUUUGUCCAGAGCGAAUAUUGCAGAACGGAGGAGAGGACCAAGAGGAGACCAGAGACUCUGAACGGUGUCGAGAAACCAAAUGUUUAAUGGACAAGUCAGCAGGCAGCCAGCUUGCUUCCAUUCCAAAACUGAAGCUUACGCGGCCGGUGCAUUCCAGUGCGGAUGUCCCACCCCCAAAGAUACGGCUGAAGCCCCAUCGCAUAAAUGAUGGUCAGAGUGUUUCAAUUUAUAAGGCAGAACUUAUUGACGAAAUAAAUGUCCUUCAGAGCAGCAGGGAGUCCAAUCCUGGCGCAUUUUACAAUGAUGAAUCCACAGACAGAAGUUUAGCUGAGAUAUCUUCAGGGAGUUCAGGUGAAGAUGAUGACUUCAAAAGAUUUCCCCAGGGUAAAGAUGGGCAUGAUAACUUGGCUUUCCUUAUGAAUUAUCGUAAAAGAAAAGCCGAUUCUUCUAGUUUAUCGGUGUGUAGUAAUGACAGUCUAGACGAAUCCAAGUCUUCUAGUUCAGAAGUAACAUCACCAGAAAUGUGUGACUUUUUGCCUGGUGAUGAUGCAUCCGUCUCUUCAUCUUCAAAAGAUGAGCGUAAAAUUGUGCCACCACUAACAGUUAGACUGCAUACCCAAAGUGUGUCUAAAUGUGUCACAGAAGAUGGAAGAACUGUUUCAGUGGGGGAUAUUGUUUGGGGUAAAAUUCAUGGUUUUCCAUGGUGGCCAGCACGUGUUCUUGACAUAAACCUUAGUCAGAAGGAAAACGGAGAACCUUCGUGGCGAGAAGCUAAAGUAUCAUGGUUUGGUUCUCCAACGACUUCAUUCUUAUCUGUUUCAAAACUCUCUCCUUUCUCUGAAUUUUUCAAACUGAGAUUUAAUCGCAAGAAGAAAGGGAUGUAUCGGAAAGCUAUCACAGAAGCUGCAAAGGCAGUAGAGCAUCUGACUCCAGAAAUAAGAGAUCUCUUAACACAGUUUGAGACAUAACUUUGCCUCCAGUAUCAGGUAACAGAAGAUAAGAGCACAGCUGUUCUCCUAGAGGGUCACGAAGUCUGUAAACAUCCUGACACGCUCCCCAGGAGAAUCUGGAGGUUGCCGUGCGCAUGGCAGGAGGACAAGUUUCCUUGUCAGAUUGCACUGCUUUUCAUCUGGGACAGAGCUGAGAGAAUCAAUGUUUUGAAAAGCAGUCACCUGGUAACUUGGAUGGGUUUGUGUCCUAAAUGCGUGCUUUCUUAAGUCACCUGAAACAGCAGGCAGCACAGCCUUGGCUUGCUCAUGCUGCAUGCGUAGAGGUAGGUAGUUAGCCUGAUGGCUCCAACUGGAGAAUGAGUUAACGUUUUGAACUAACUUUUGUGUUCACACCUAGUCAACGAGUGUAAUUUAAGGCCCCUUGAACACACCUUGUUGGAUAGAAAGGAUCUUCAUCCUUACACAUGACCAGGAAUGAUUAGCAGUCUUUAAAAAACAGAAAACAAACAGCCUAUAGCUUUUGUACCAAAUUUAGAGUACAAAUGGUUUACAAACUAAAGUGGCCUAUAAACAAGCUUUUGAAACUGCAUCGGUUAUUUUUUUUGGUUUUGCAUUAGUCUAGCUUUCUCUUGGAUUCUGUCAGUCUAGAAACAUUGAUUUGUGGUAAUCUGUUGCUUCUGAUGCUGGAGAAAAUGGUUCACUCCUAGGUGAAAUGUUGUCUGCAUGUAGAAGAUUGCCUUUGAGCUACCGGAUCGUUGCACAGAUUCUGCUUCCUGUUUGUUCUUAAUCUGUUGCAGCAAACAUUGUGAUGAACUAUUGUCGAAUUAGAAGAGCAAGCGGAUCGGAAAACAUACAAGCUCGUGUUUUCCUGGUUCAUGCCGGUUCAUAUUGUGGUCUUUUGAAUGUCAGCAAGAGAGGUCAGAGCUUCCCUUUUCUGUUUAACAACAGCAAAGUUUAACAAGAAGAGUUCAACAGCAGAAAAACCCUUCUGCUGAGUCUCAGUAAGAGCAUACAAUGAGUCAAAUAUGUUUCCCUUAAAACAGUUGGAAGACUGUGGUAUAAAACAUGCAAACUAAAAUGCAGUGCUGAAAUAGGACAUCUGUGUCCCAAGACUGAUUUUGGCCACCUCUGCAAACAAAUCAGAAGAGCGCUUGUCUACUCCCAUCUCUAGUGAAGGGCUGCUCCUGCCUGCAUGUGGAAAGGCUGCUCUGUGGUUGAAGGAGAUGCCAAGAACAACAGGAAAACCCCUGGUGCACAUAAGCAUCCUCUGCCAGAUGUUUAACUGUACAGUGGAACUCUGUCUGCCUUCUGCUUCUGCCUUGAUAAUCACUGUCGUCUCGUGCCCUCGGAGCAGCGGUUGUGCUCCUCAGUGCUGAUGGAGGAGUACCUGGUAUCCCUGCAAGAAACCUUCCCGGUCUUCCCUUGCCGGUUGCUGUGUUUUGCUAGUCCCCUGUCACCAAGGGCGCAGCUCCUGCUGUCCUUACACCUGGAUGCAUGGUGACAUUCCUGACAUUGCUGGGCCCUUUAGAAAGCAAACAACUGGCUUUUACUGCCUGAAAGUCCUUGCCAAUGCAGAGGUAAAGGGAAAAGUGUCAGCAUUUCAAGCUCGCCAGGUCGUGUGUCAGCAGCAGGAAGGUUAGAGAACUGGUUUGCUGCCAUUUUCUGCCAGGAGGGCUGGGGAGGGACCCUCCUCCAAAGAGGACUGGAAGGUUGCAUGUGCUGGGACUCCUUUUUUUUGUCUUUUACCUUUGUGAUGCCAGGUGGCCUGACACACGUGUGUCUGUUAGCACCAGCUUAAUGAAGCAGACGAGUGAAGCUUAAGCACUGCGGGUGAGUCACCAAAUUUUUGCCACUUUUACUAAGAACUGCAACGGAGAGUUUCAGUAAAAACAUGGUAACGGAGAAAAUAGUGCUUAGGUGGCAUGCGAGUGGAUUGGACACCGGGGUCCUCUGAAUCAGUGGCUCAGUGCCAGAGGUAGGUUUAUACACCAGCCUUAAACAGUAUCCCAGCAAAAAGCACAACUUUGGAUCUGCGUAUGGGAGCUAAAGGAGUUGGCUCACUUCUUCAGUGAAAAGAUGAUUCUUCGGUUUUGGCAAGGCUUAAAGCAAAAAUCUUGUAACAAAUUGCUUUUUUCGCCUUGGCCA